rnacentral:lncRNA from 1 species
UGGCUUCUCCUGAUUAAUUAAAAUGAGGUUUUUGAUAGGUCAAAGAGAAAUCCAACAUUUGGAUCUCUGUAGCAUUCUCGCCAAUAUAAGAAAUGAAAUUAUUGCUUGAAAUCUGUGAGAAACACUUUAUUUCCCCAAGAUUUUUCAAAUUCUUGAAUUAUUUAUAUAAAUGAUGGCCAACUUUGAAAUGAAGAGUAGUAUUGUCAGUAUGUUCAUAGGCAAGAGACACCACAUUACCUUGAAGCUUUUCAACGAGUUUUCCAAAUAUAGUAGAGUCUCACUUAUCCAACAUAAACGGGCCAGCAGAAUGUUGGAUAAGCGAAUAUGUUGAAUAAUAAGGAGAGAUUAAGGAGAAGCCUAUUAAACAUCAAAUUAGGUUAUGAUUUUACAAAUUAAGCACCAAAACAUCAUGUUAUACAACAAAUUUGAUAGAAAAAGUAGUUCAAUAUGAGUAAGGUUAUGUUGUAAUUACUGUAUUUAUGAAUUUAGCACCAAAAUAUCAUGAUAUAUUGAAAACAUUGACUACAAAAAUACGUUGGAUAAUCCAGAAUGUUGGAUAAGCAAAUGUUGGAUAAGUGAGACUCUACUUUAGCAAUUCUAAUGUUGUGUAAUUUACAGUCAUCAGAAAGAGUUUUACCUUGAGUCCCAGCUUUGGAGAACAGGCAAUGCAUAAAGACAAGGAAGAAGAGGAAUAGAAAGAGUUUCUAUGUGUUGUCGAAGGCUUUCAUGGCCAGGAUCACAGGGUUGUUGCAUGUCUUUCGGGCUGUGUGGCCAUGUUCCAGAAGUAUUCUCUCCUGACAUUUCGCCCACAUCUAUGGCAGGCAUCCUCAGAGGUUGUGAAUUAUAUUGGAAACUAGGUAAGGGAGGUUUAUAUAUCUGAGAAAUAUCCACGGUGGGAAAAAUAAUUCUUGUCUGUUUGAGGUAAGUGUGUAUGUUGCAACUGGCCAGCUUGAUUAGCAUUGAAUUACCUUGCAGUUUUAAAGCCUGGUUGCUUCCUGCCUGGGGGAGGGGAAUCCUUUGUUGGGUGGUGUUAGCUGGCCCUAUUUUUCCGUCAGGAAUUCCCUGUUGUUGUUUUUUUAGUGUUGUUCUUUAUUUACUGUCCUGAUUCUAGAGUUUUUUUAAAUGUUGGUAGCCAGAUUUUGUUCAUUUUCAUGGUUUCCUCCUAACUGUUGAAAUAGUUCACAUGCUUGUAGAUUUUAAUUGCUUCUCUGUGUAGUCUGACAUGGUGGUUGUUAGAGUGGUCCAGCAUUUCUGUGUUUUCAAAUAAUAUGCUGUUGGCUCAUCAAGUGCUCUGCUAUGGCUGACUUCUCUGGUUGGAUUAGUCUGCAGUGCCUUUUCAUGUUCCUUAAUUCGCGUUUGGGCAAUGCUGCUGCGUUUGGUGGUCCCUCUGUAGACUUGUCCACAGCUGCAUGGUAUAUGGUAGACUCCUGCAGAGUUUUCUUUUGCUAAACAUAACAUUUGUUGAAUCUUCUUAGUGAGUCUGUAGAUAGUUUGUACGUUUUGUUUCUUCAUCAACUUCCUUAGAAAAGGAAGCCUAUGUUGUUUUCUUUUGGCCAGGAUAAAUAGGAGGUCAUUUAUAUUUUCUUUUUCUUUUCUUUUCCUUGGCAUUUUUUGUGUUUAUGCUCUAGGUUUCUUUUUUUAUUCACUUUUUUGACUUAAUGUAACUUUAAAAACUUUUAAAAUCAUAGAAUCAUAGAAUCAUAGAAUAGUAGAGUUGUAAGAGACCUCAUGGGCCAUCCAGUCCAACCCCCCGCCAAGAAGCAGGAAAUCGCAUUCAAAGCACCCCCGACAGAUGGCCAUCCAGCCUCUGCUUAAAAGCCUCCAAAGAAGGAGCCCCCACCACAGUCUGGGUUGAGAGUUCCACUGCCAAACAGCCCUCACAGUGAGGAAGUUCUUCCUGAUGUUCAGGUGGAAUCUCCUUUCCUGUAGUUUGAAGCCAUUGUUCCAUGUCCUAGUCUGCAGGGCAGCAGAAAAC